rnacentral:rRNA from 1 species
UACAGAGGGGGCAAGCGUUGUUCGGAAUUACUGGGCGUAAAGGGUGCGUAGGCGGCUCUCUAAGUCGGAUGUGAAAACUCUGGGCUCAACCCAGAGCCUGCAUCCGAAACUGGAGGGCUAGGGUUCUGGAGGGGAAAGCGGAAUUCCUGGUGUAGCGGUGAAAUGCGCAGAUAUCAGGAAGAACACCUAUGGCGAAGGCAGCACUCUGGGACGGUACUGACGCUGAGACGCGAAAGCGUGGGGAGCGAACAGG